rnacentral:rRNA from 1 species
UUCUGGCUCAGGACGAACGCUGGCUGCGUGCUUAACACAUGCAAGUCGAACGCUGAAGCCCUCAGCUUGCUGGGGGUGGAUGAGUGGCGAACGGGUGAGUAACACGUGAGUAACCUGCCCUGAUUUCGGGAUAAGCCCGGGAAACUGGGCCUAAUACCGGAUAUGACCACUGGCCGCAUGGUGGGUGGUGGAAAGUUUUUUCGAUUGGGGAUGGGCUCGCGGCCUAUCAGUUUGUUGGUGGGGUAAUGGCCUACCAAGGCGACGACGGGUAGCCGGCCUGAGAGGGCGACCGGCCACACUGGGACUGAGACACGGCCCAGACUCCUACGGGAGGCAGCAGUGGGGAAUAUUGCACAAUGGGGGAAACCCUGAUGCCAGCGACGCAGCGUGCGGGAUGACGGCCUUCGGGUUGUAAACCGCUUUCAGCAGGGAAGAAGCCGUGAGGUGACGGUACCUGCAGAAGAAGUACCGGCUAACUACGUGCCAGCCGCCGC